rnacentral:rRNA from 1 species
GACGAACGCUGGCGGCGUGCUUAACACAUGCAAGUCGAACGAUGAAGCUGGAGCUUGCUCUGGCGGAUUAGUGGCGAACGGGUGAGUAACACGUGAGAAAUCUGCCCUUGACUCUGGGAUAACUGCGGGAAACUGUAGCUAAUACCGGAUACUUUCCCUGGUGGGCAUCCACUGGGGAAGAAAGAAUUUCGGUCAAGGAUGAUCUCGCGGCCUAUCAGCUUGUUGGUGAGGUAACGGCUCACCAAGGCGACGACGGGUAGCCGGCCUGAGAGGGUGACCGGCCACACUGGGACUGAGACACGGCCCAGACUCCUACGGGAGGCAGCAGUGGGGAAUAUUGCACAAUGGGCGCAAGCCUGAUGCAGCAACGCCGCGUGAGGGAUGACGGCCUUCGGGUUGUAAACCUCUUUUAGUAGGGAAGAAGCGAAAGUGACGGUACCUGCAGAAAAAGCACCGGCUAACUACGUGCCAGCCGCCGCGGUAA